AUCUCAGAGGCAGCUGUCUCCUCCGCCUACAUUCAAGUCCAGUCCUAUUUGUAGGUUUCCAAAGCAACAAUGCAAAUGUUCGAUCAAUGUGCUUGGUGUGUGAUAGGCCUAUACUACAGGCUUGUUUUGCCAUAAGUCCUGGUUGCAAGGAAUGUGCUAAACUCAGAAGAGGUGUUUCUAGGACAUGGCGCCUGGGGAUAACAGGGAUUCCUACAAAAACUGCCACAGACCAUGGUACCAGACUCCAGCGCUGCUUUGCUGUAAGUGAUGCCCUCACCAGGACAAAACAUCAAAGGAAGCUGCUUGAACCAAGCCAGAGUCCCAGAUAGACUGUGGUGCAGUGACCUUGACAAAGGCACCCCAGUUUCUCAGUGAAAUGGAAGGACAGGGGACGUACGUGCUUGCUGCUUAACAGAACCAUACAACCACUAAGGAAAAAGGGAGCAAGAACGCCUGUUUGUCCACGGCUAUGGUGAAGACAACAAUCAAAGGUAGAAGCAGGCUCCUGACACGUUUGGAGCAUUGGGCACUGCCAGCCAGAGCCACCUUGGGAAGUCACGAAGGUGGGAAUCUGGUGGAAGACAGCAAUUUAUGAGAUACUGAUGAGAAGGAAUUUGAAAGAACUGGGUCCCAGUAAGGCCACCAAUGUUCUGGGAAAGAUGUAGUAAAAUGGAGACAGGUCAGACUCCUUGAUCAUGAACAACUUUCCACUGAUCUUGUCAUUUUUUAAACAUUUUUAUUGGAGUAUAGUUGAUUUGUGAUGUUGUGUUAGUUUUAGGCAUACAGCAAAGUGAAUCAGUUAUUUAUAUAUAUAUAUAAUAUAUAUAUAAUAUAUAUAUAAUUAUAUAUAUAUAUUAUAUAUAUAAUAUAUAUAUAUAUAAUAUAUAAUAUAUCCUGUAUAUAUAUGUGAUAUAUAUAUCACAUAUAUAUAUAUAAUAUAUAUAUAUAUAUAUGUGUAUAUAUCCGGUCC
rnacentral:lncRNA from 1 species